UCUCCGUUGGUGAACCAGCGGAGGGAUCAUUGCUGGAACGCGCCUCGGCGCACCCAGAAACCCUUUGUGAACUUAUACCUACUGUUGCCUCGGCGUCAGGCCGGCCCCAGUGAUGGGGCCCCCCGGAGACGGGGAGCAGCCCGCCGGCGGCCAACUAAACUCUUGUUUCUACAGUGAAUCUCUGAGUACAAAACAUAAAUGAAUCAAAACUUUCAACAACGGAUCUCUUGGUUCUGGCAUCGAUGAAGAACGCAGC
rnacentral:misc_RNA from 1 species